rnacentral:rRNA from 1 species
GACGAACGCUGGCGGUGCGCCUUAUGCAUGCAAGUCGAGCGAAGCUUCUCUGUAGUUUACUACCGAGAAUGACUGAGCGGCGAACGGGUGAGUAACGCGUGAGCAAUCUACCUUAGUUACAGGGAUAGCCCGAGGAAACUCGGAUUAAUACCUGAUAUUCUUUAAAUUUCGCAUGAAAUUAAAAGGAAAGGUCAGCCGAACUAAGAUGAGCUCGCGUUCUAUCAGCUAGUUGGUGAGGUAAUAGCUCACCAAGGCUACGACGGAUAGCUGGUCUGAGAGGACGAUCAGCCACACUGGGACUGAGACACGGCCCAGACUCCUACGGGAGGCUGCAGCAGGGAAUAUUGUGCAAUGAGCGAAAGCUUGACACAGCGACACCGCGUGUGGGAUGACGGAUCUAGGUUUGUAAACCACUUUCAGGAGGGAAGAAAAUGACGGUACCUCCACAAGAAGCCCCGGCCAACUACGUGCCAGCAGCCGCGGUAAUACGUAGGGGGCGAGCGUUGUCCGGAUUUAUUGGGCGUAAAGAGCUCGUAGGCGGUUCAACAAGUCGGUCGUGAAAGUUCAGGGCUCAACCCUGAAAUGUCGAUCGAUACUGUUGUGACUAGGAUACGGUAGAGGUGAGUGGAAUUCCGAGUGUAGCGGUGAAAUGCGUAGAUAUUCGGAGGAACACCAAUUGCGAAGGCAGCUCACUGGGCCGCUAUCGACGCUGAGGAGCGAAAGCUAGGGGAGCAAACAGGAUUAGAUACCCUGGUAGUCCUAGCUGUAAACGAUGGAUACUAGACGUAGGAACUGGAUUGACGGUUUCUGUGUCGCAGCUAACGCGUUAAGUAUCCCGCCUGGGGAGUACGGUCGCAAGACUAAAACUCAAAGGAAUUGACGGGGCCCCGCACAAGCGGCGGAGCAUGCGGCUUAAUUCGAUGAUACCCGUAGAACCUUACCUGGACUUGACAUAUAGGGUCAAGCUAUAGAAAUAUAGUGUGCAUUAGCGCCCUAUACAGGUGGUGCAUGGCUGUCGUCAGCUCGUGUCGUGAGAUGUUGGGUUAAGUCCCGCAACGAGCGCAACCCCUGUCCUAUGUUGCCAGCAUUUAGUUGGGGACUCAUAGGAGACUGCCGGUGAUAAACCGGAGGAAGGUGGGGAUGACGUCAAGUCAUCAUGCCCCUUAUGUCCAGGGCUGCACGCAUGCUACAAUGGCAAGUACAACGAGUCGCAAUACCGCGAGGUGGAGCAAAUCUCUUAAAGCUUGUCUCAGUUCGGAUAGGAGUCUGCAACUCGACUCCUUGAAGUUGGAGUCGCUAGUAAUCGCAAAUCAGCAAUGUUGCGGUGAAUACGUUCUCGGG